AUAACCCGAAUCCUUAAAAAGAUCCGGGUUGACCAUCACUAGUGGAUGCCUUUGCUGUCCGUAGCCUGAGAUUUCAGAUUUGCAGCAAAAAAUUUUAGAUUUUCUCAUUUAUUGGAAUGCUAUGCAGGUAUUUGUACCUUGCAGCCAUCCAUUACAAUGUCACCAAGCCGUAACAAAAGCAGGAGAGGGAAAGUACAAGGCUAUGUUCCCAAAACACACAAGUGACAUACCUUAUGUGGAGGAUGUGAUCAGGCUUGUGUUUGCUGAGGUAUUUGAAGAUAAGCUGAAGGAAGCCCUGAUUCCAAUGGACCUGGCAUCACAGUUUGAGAGACCUUCAAAGGAGGACGUGAUUGCAUGCCAUCUUCAGUGCAG